AAAACGAUGUCGCCGUCUUUGUUGCUCUUACUAUGCAAAGCGAACCUUUUUCAUCUCUUUGCCUUCCUAGGCCUUCAAUGUAUUCUUCAAUUCGAGAAUAAGUGUUGUCUUAAUUACAAUAAAGUCUGUAACGUCUCGGUAUUCUUCUUGAUUUCGUAUUCUAUAAGGAUAUCUCCAACCUCACAUGGAGUAAUGCUUUUAUUUUUUGGUCAUCACUCCAUUUUCCACUCCAUUUUCAACUACAUUUCUCAAUUUGGAGUAAAUUAUAGAGUGAGGUUGGAGAUGCUCUAAAUAGGAUACCAGAAGAAGACGAAGAAGACGGAGAGCGCCAAGGCUUCGUCGGCAACUUCUAAUCUGAUGCUCGCCAUUAACUAGAAGGAGACGAGCUCACUCGACCUCUAACGUCCUCUCCGCAAUUAUAUUGCUUUCACUUAGACCGAGCGCCCAAGCUCAGCUUCUUGAAGAUGAUCCGUCUCCCUCCGCCCGAAGAGACGUUCACAUCUCUUAUUACAAAGCUCUCUGCCUUUUGGAGACACCAUUCCCAAUCUCCCCCGAGAAGGAUAACGUCAACGCCGUGUCUUUCCAAUGGCAACAGAGGAGGUGAUGGGUUUUUAUCAGAGGAAGAGAUAAGGGCUAGAAGUAAAUUGUAAUGAAAUGCUUGAGAGAGAUGAUAUGCAGCAGCUGCUGAGACUCUUCAGCAUGAGUGGUGGUGGUGGUGGUGGUGGCCCGCAAACUCCAAUGAACAUGGGGGAAGAUGGGUUUGGGUUCCACUCUUUUGGUCAGUCUUCUUCAAUGGGGUUUGGGUUCCAUCAGUUUUUUCAUGUGUUAUCGUUAUCUCUGUCUUUGUACUAGAUGUUUGAGGUGUUUUACCAAACUGCACUAGCAGAGAAUUGCUUAGAUUUCCAGGGGAAGAGAAACUUGUGUGGAAUUAGCCAAAGAUGUUGUCUUAAAGGUAGUAGAAGAGUCUAACCAAAGAUAUUCAUUCAUAUAUACAAUCUUCUUCUCCAUUGGCAGGUUCACUUUAAUUUAUUUCCACCUGAGUUCACAUCAUACUUUCUCUGUUUACCACAAUUGCAGUUUGAAGAGAGCAAUAUUAUCCAUAACUAAAGAGGCUUUUCAAGGAUCUUUUUGUUUUAGGGUUGGGAGAAAUCUAUAUUUUGUAACUUUUCAUGUAGAUUAUGUUCGAAGAUUUUCUCAUUUAAAACAAAACAAUUGUUUCCUUUUUAUAUUUGCAGGUUAUUAGUUGCAUGUGUUUGAUUGAAAAGAAAAACUGAAGUUUAUAUAUAUUAAGAGUUUUAUUCA